UUGCAGGCGGGAAAGCUGUAAACAGUACUUACACGGCAAAGUCGAUUCCAUCUUCCACGAAGUCCGUCUGCCAAUGCACAAGGGAAUAAAACUGAUCUAUUGCUUUACCCGAGACUUUUCCUACGAGGAUACCGCAAAUGAGGUAUUCAACGCGGAAGAGGACGAGGAUGUUUUGUCGACGCACACUAUUGCACCAGGGAUCCGCUAUUGUCGGGAGAUAAUAGUGGACUACGUUUACAAAAUGUAGGCGGACAAGCCGAAAUUAGGACCUUCAAGACGGAUGUUCCUAGGACAUACGAAAUGGCCGCCUCACGGACGUCCGUAGGACUUUCAAGACGGACGUUCCUAGGACAUACGAAAUAUACGUCUUGUGGACAUCCCAAGGAUGUUCAAAAUGGACGUUGGACGUUCGGACAUAAUCUGGACAUGAAACGGACGUGUCUGGGAUGCACAGUGCUAUCUGGGUAAGGUGUACUUACUGCUCGAGGUGCACUAAUCAAAUUACGAGACCUAAUACUAACAUUUCCUGCGGCUCCUUACGUUAGCCAUAGGUUCGU